CAGCCGCCACGGGAAUACGAAGGGUGCAAGCGUUACUCGGAAUUACUGGGCGUAAAGCGUGCGUAGGUGGUUGUUUAAGUCUGCUGUGAAAGCCCUGGGCUCAACCUGGGAAUUGCAGUGGAUACUGGGCGACUAGAGUAAGGUAGAGGAUAGUGGAAUUUCCGGUGUAGCAGUGAAAUGCGUAGAGAUCGGAAGGAACAUCUGUGGCGAAGGCGACUAUCUGGGCCAUUACUGACACUGAGGCACGAAAGCGUGGGGAGCAAACAGGAUUAGAUACCCCCGUAGUCCCUGUCUCUUAUAC
rnacentral:rRNA from 1 species